AACGCUGAUAAACGGAUGAACACUGCUCUCAGUCAGACUAAUGGAAGUGGAGACUACAACAAUUUAAAUAUACCUACCUAUUAAUAACAUAGGCCACAGUCGAUCUCAUCAAGCAAGGACUUGAAUCAUCUACUGAAUACUGAUAAUAAUCUCGGACGCAAGUAGUAUAUACUGGACGAAAUGAUAAUGGCAACACAAUUUCCAUCGUGACUUGCAAUGUGCGUAUUUGCAUUUACAAACAAGGACAAUCUGGUAAAACAUGAAAAUACUCUUGAGGAGAUUCGUUUUCUGUGCACUGCUAGUAAUUCUAUUCACAACAAUAAAGCUCAUUUAAGCAAGCAUAUGCGAAACGAUUAUGACUACUCCGCAAAUAUUUGUUGUAUCAGACGCGCAAGUAAGGCCCUCAAACCAGUGCCAAAAUGUACUUAUAUCAAAGGCACAAGACGUAGUUACGUUAAACGGCGUUAAGAAUAACGAUGAUAAAAUAUGCUCUGAAGAUUUUUUUUAAUAUUAUGUACAUCUUUCACGUAGGUAUCAAACAUUUUCGCGCUGAUAACAUUAAAACAACUAGAAAUUCAAAUAGAGGCAUUUGGUUAUGGUAAACACACCAAAGUUUGUCGAAAUCAUUUCGGCCUUUAAUAGACU